rnacentral:lncRNA from 1 species
UCUCUACUUUUGUAUAGUUCAGGAAAGGAAGAAUGAUACAAUUAUGAGAGUAGCUUAUGUAGUAGUUUGCAGAAAAGCACACAAAAGAGUAAGUGCUAUAUGAUACAAGGGAGCUUUGUCCUCAUUUACACUGAAGCCUAGGCUCUGCUUUGAUGCUUUCAUGUUUGUUGGAGAAAAUCCACACACCUGCUUUUGCACGUACAAGUCAAUGGAGAAUCAGAGCAGAGUUCCAUGUGGGUCACAGUUUGGGUAUCUAUGACGGAAGUAAGACUGAACUGAAGUUUGCAACUAAGUGUUUUCUCUGUAAUAUUUCCAAUAUAUAUUUUGUAUAUGUGAGUGUGUCUGUGUGUAUUUUUCUUUUAUCCACAUAAGGAUUUUCUUGAAAAUAUUGAAGGCAGUUUACUUUCAUCGGA